AAUCCUUUAACGAGGAUCUAUUGGAGGGCAAGUCUGGUGCCAGCAGCCGCGGUAAUUCCAGCUCCAAUAGCGUAUAUUAAUUUUGUUGCGGUUAAAAAGCUCGUAGUUGGAUCUCGGUUUCGGGCGAGCGGUGUACCUUGCGGUAUUUACUGUUUGCCCGGACGAUUUUGUUGGUUCGUUUAUGGUUCUCUUAACCGAGUGCCAUAAGUGGCCAGCACGUUUACUUUGAAAAAAUUGGAGUGCUCAAAGCAGGCGCUACAGCCUGAACAUUAGUGCAUGGAAUAAUGGAAUAGGAUCUCGGUUCUAUUUCGUUGGCUUUCGGAGUCGAGGUAAUGAUUAAUAGGGACAGACGGGGGCAUUCGUACUGCGACGUUAGAGGUGAAAUUCUUGGAUCGUCGCAAGACGAACUACUGCGAAAGCAUUUGCCAAGAAUGUUUUCAUUAAUCAAGAAAAGUUAGAGGUUCGAAGGCGAUCAGAUACUGCCCUAGUUCUAACCAUAAACGAUGUCGACCGGCGAUCCGUUAUCGUUAACUGAAUGACUUAACGGGCAGCCUCCGGGAAACCAGAGUGUUUGGAUUCCGGGGGAAGUAUGGUUGCAAAGCUGAAACUUAAAGGAAUUGACGGAAGGGCACCACCAGGAGUGGAGCCUGCGGCUUAAUUUGACCCAACACGGGAAAUCUCACCAGGCCCGGACACCGGAAGGAUUGACAGAUUGAGAGCUCUUUCUUGAUUCGGUGGGUGGUGGUGCAUGGCCGUUCUUAGUUGGUGGAGCGAUUUGUCUGGUUAAUUCCGAUAACGAACGAGACUCUGGCCUACUAACUAGACGUUAGAUCCCUUUGUGGGUCUAUCGCAGCUUCUUAGAGGGACGGGCGGCGUUUAGCCGCACGAGAUUGAGCAAUAACAGGUCUGUGAUGCCCUUAGAUGUUCUGGGCUGCACGCGCGCUACACUGAAGGAAUCAGCGUGUGUUCCCUACCCGAAAGGGUUGGGAAACCCGUUGAACCUCCUUCGUGAUGGGGAUUGGGGAUUGCAAUUAUUCCCCAUGAACGAGGAAUUCCCAGUAAGCGCGAGUCAUAAGCUUGCGCUGAUUACGUCCCUGCCCUUUGUACACACCGCCCGUCGCUACUACCGAUCGAGUGAUUUAGUGAGGCCUUCGGACUGGUCUUCAGUAUGGCUUUCGGGUCGUGUUGGAGUACCGGAAAGAUGACCAAACUUGAUCACUUAGAGGAAGUAAAAGUC
rnacentral:rRNA from 1 species